rnacentral:rRNA from 1 species
CCUACGGGGGGCUGCAGUGAGGAAUAUUGGUCAAUGGGCGCGAGCCUGAACCAGCCAAGUCGCGUGAGGGAGUACUGCCCUAUGGGUUGUAAACCUCUUUUGUCGGGGAGCAAAAGCCGGACGUGUCCGGCUUUCAGAGUACCCGAAGAAAAAGCAUCGGCUAACUCCGGUCCAGCAGCCGCGGUAAUACGGAGGAUGCGAACGUUAUCCGGAUUUAUUGGGUUUAAAGGGUGCGCAGGCGGAUUAUUAAGUCAGCGGUAAAAUCGUGGGGCUUAACCCCAUCCAGCCGUUGAAACUGGGGAUCUUGAGUGUGCGAGAGGUAUGCGGAAUGCGUGGUGUAGCGGUGAAAUGCAUAGAUAUCACGCAGAACCCCGAUUGCGAAGGCAGCAUACCGGUGCACAACUGACGCUCAGGCACGAAAGCGUGGGUAUCGAACAGGAUUAGAUACCCUAGUAGUC